rnacentral:rRNA from 1 species
AACGAACGCUGGCGGCAUGCCUAACACAUGCAAGUCGAACGAGACCUUCGGGUCUAGUGGCGCACGGGUGCGUAACGCGUGGGAACCUGCCCUUAGGUUCGGAAUAACUCCCCGAAAGGGGUGCUAAUACCGGAUAAUGUCUUCGGACCAAAGAUUUAUCGCCUGUGGAUGGGCCCGCGUUGGAUUAGCUAGUUGGUAGGGUAAAAGCCUACCAAGGCGACGAUCCAUAGCUGGUCUGAGAGGAAGAUCAGCCACACUGGGACUGAGACACGGCCCAGACUCCUACGGGAGGCAGCAGUGGGGAAUAUUGGACAAUGGGCGAAAGCCUGAUCCAGCAAUGCCGCGUGAGUGAUGAAGGCCUUAGGGUUGUAAAGCUCUUUUACCCGGGAUGAUAAUGACAGUACCGGGAGAAUAAGCUCCGGCUAACUCCGUG